rnacentral:rRNA from 1 species
CAGGCCUAACACAUGCAAGUCGAACGGUCUCUUCGGAGGCAGUGGCGGACGGGUGAGUAACGCGUGGGAACGUGCCCUUUGGUACGGAACAACUGAGGGAAACUUCAGCUAAUACCGUAUGUGCCCUUCGGGGGAAAGAUUUAUCGCCAUUGGAGCGGCCCGCGUUGGAUUAGGUAGUUGGUGAGGUAAAGGCUCACCAAGCCUACGAUCCAUAGCUGGUCUGAGAGGAUGAUCAGCCACACUGGGACUGAGACACGGCCCAGACUCCUACGGGAGGCAGCAGUAGGGAAUCUUGCGCAAUGGGCGAAAGCCUGACGCAGCCAUGCCGCGUGAAUGAUGAAGGUCUUAGGAUUGUAAAAUUCUUUCACCGGGGACGAUAAUGACGGUACCCGGAGAAGAAGCCCCGGCUAACUUCGUGCCAGCAGCCGCGGUAAUAAU